rnacentral:rRNA from 1 species
GUCUCUAAGGACAACUUAUAUAUGACCGUACCGUAAACGGACACACGUAGGUAGGAUGAGAAAUCUAAGGCGCUCGAGAUAACUCGCGUUAAGGAACUCGGCAAAAUGCACACGUAACUUCGGGAGAAGUGUGGCCUGAGCGAUCAGGUUGCAGAUAAUAGGCCCAGGCGACUGUUUACCAAAAACACAGGACUCUGCGAACGCGCAAGCGGAAGUAUAGGGUCUGACGCCUGCCCGGUGCUGGAAGGUUAAGAGGAGGGGUUAGCGGGAAACUGCGAAGCUCUGAAUUGAAGCCCCAGUAAACGGCGGCCGUAACUAUAGCGGUCCUAAGGUAGCGAAAUUCCUUGUCGGGUAAGUUCCGACCCGCACGAAUGGUGGAACGAUCUGGGCACUGUCUCGACGCGAGACUCGGUGAAAUUUAAGUACCGGUAAAGAUGCCGGUUACCCGUGGUUAGACGGAAAGACCCCAUGAACCUUUACUGUAGCUUAUCAUGGGGACUUGGCUUUACAUGUGUAGGAUAGGUGGGAGACAGGGAAGCAUGGCCGCUAGGCUGUGUGGAGUCGUUGGUGAAAUACCACCCUUGUAAGGCUAGGUUUCUAACUCAGUUUGUAAAUCCAGGCUGAGGACAGUGGUAGGUGGGCAGUUUGACUGGGGCGGUCGCCUCCUAAAAGGUAACGGAGGUGCGCGAAGGUUGCCUUGCGCUGGGUGGAAAUCAGCGCUUAAAGUGUAAAGGCAUAAGGCAGCUUGACUGCGAGUCCGACAGGACGAGCAGGUACGAAAGUAGGUCUUAGUGAUCUGGCGGUAGCGAGUGGAAGCGCCGUCACUUAACGGAUAAAAGGUACUCUGGGGAUAACAGGCUGAUCUUGCCCAAGAGUUCACAUCGACGGCAAGGUUUGGCACCUCGAUGUCGGCUCAUCGCAUCCUGGGGCUGGAGCAGGUCCCAAGGGUUUGGCUGUUCGCCAAUUAAAGCGGUACGUGAGCUGGGUUCUGAACGUCGUGAGACAGUUCGGUCCCUAUCUGCCACGGGCGUUGGAUGGUUGAGAGGAGCUGCUUUUAGUACGAGAGGAUCGAAGUGGACGAACCUCUGGUGUACCAGUUAUCCUGCCAAGGGUAAGUGCUGGGUAGCUAAGUUCGGAAGGGAUAACCGCUGUAAGCAUCUAAGUGGGAAGCCCACCUCAAGAUGAACCAUCCCCGGGGAUUAAAUCCCCCUUAAGGUACCAGACAGACUAUCUGGUUGAUAGGCCGGAGGUGGAAGUGCGGUAACGCAUGGAGCCAACCAGUACUAAUCUACCGUGAGGCUUGACC